ACAGCUCUCUGCUUUAGCAGCACUUUUUAUUUUUUUUGGUUCCCUCUUCAAGAGCAUUUGGAUAAUAAAAGAAAAGGCCAUUACCCUACACACACACCCACUACCAGCUGCAUUGAGAACACAAAUGUGGAUUCUGUCAAGUAGUUGGCAGAGGAAGCCCAGCUCCCAGCUCCAAGCAGCCACACCACAAAUGGCGUCAACUUCAGGCUGUGUUUUGUGUCCUCUCUGAGGUCCCUUUUCUGAAGGGCUGGUGCUGUUUGCUGGGGGUUUACUUCAGGCCCUAUUCAUUUGGUUCGCUCCUGUGCCUGGAGAUGUCACUCAAGGAGGCUACAGAACUACAAAGGUGGAUGCCUGCUCUUUCCUCUGGGAUCUCUGACCUCCAGGGGCACCAACCUGAUGCCGUGCUGCCUGGGAUCACCUGCUAAAUAAGCUACUUGAAUUCCCUUUUAUGUAGGUUCGUGACUUCUUAGGUGUGACCACAAUUGAAGUGACCUGACCCGAGUGUCCAUCUCUUCCACAAGGAAUCCAUAUGAAAGAAGUAACUGCUCUCAGGAACAACGUUUAUAAGGAAGACUGACACACACACACACAUAAAAAGCUUGCUAAUUAUUUUUUAAAGGAUUACAACACAAGUCUCGUGGUAUUUUUUCUUACACAUUCUGUACCAUAUAAAAUGAAGGGAGAGAAAGUGCCCAGUGUGGAGUUCUGUGGUUUCUCCUGCAUCCCACUAGGCUACCUGGGAGCAUCACAGAGAGCAUAAUCUUGAGUUAGCAGAAAUGGGGAGAACUAGGCAAAUUUAGUGUUGUGGAGAGGAAAUAAUGUAAAGAGCUCCCAUCUUCCUUCACUUGAGAGCAUGGGGCUGGGUUGUGGGACAAUGUGAGGGAAGACGGAAGAGUAGUAAAAGCUUGGAGCAGCUGCUUUGCAAAAUGGAAUGAUAGGGAGCAUUGAGGACAAGAGAAAUGAUUGCUGAGCAGCGUGGUGGCCCUGGUGAGGUUGGAGGCUUAUUUUUAGAAGGCUGCCAAGCAGUUGAGGACGGGAGAUUUUCCUCGACAACUUGGUGUAGAAUUGGGCCCACAUUAAAGGAGACAGGGCAGAAGCAGAGAGCACAGUGAGGGAGCAAGAAUGGCCAGAGUUGAAGAUCCUGGUUGCAGAGCCUUGACCCUCCCUCCUGUGUGGCACUUGGUGAAGUCAGGGAUGGUUUUAGUAGAGAACAUGUGCUAACUUUUCUCAUCCCCCAGGUGUGAGAACUGUUAUGCCAUGAACAACAGCAUCACACAUUGGCUGAGCCAAGCCUUCCUGACUGGGCAUCAGUGGUUUUCUAAGCUAGUAUCACUGCUACUUUGCCUCAUGCAUACAAAUCUAAGUUCAAAACCUAUCUUUCUUGUUCAGUGACUCCAUUUUUAGCUACUUGAUCCACAUACUUGAGAGCUUGAGGGAUGGAGAAUCUUGAGGUCAAAGAAGGCUAAAGCAACCAUGUGGAGCAGGCAUCCUCCACCUCCUCUUUUCUCCACCAAUCACAAUAACAUGCUAGGAUAAAGAAAGAAAGAAACUAGAAAGUGGUCUAAUACAACCUUGAGUGAGGUACUCUUUGAGCCUCAGUUUUCUUUCCUACAGAAUACAAACUUUAGUUAAUAGCAAUCGCCUAUUCCUAGAGAGGGUGAUUAUUCAAUGGCAUAUCAAGCACUUGGCACUAUUGCAGCACACUUAGUUGGUGCUCAAUAAAUGGUUGCUAUGUAUUAGGUAACAACCAGACAAUGUGCGCUAUAUACCAUUUUGUGCAAUUUAUGUUGUCUUUGCCUGUGUUCUGCAAAAGCAGAUUCUGAGACAACAGCUUAUCAAUAUAGCUGAAAACUCCUGUACUAGGGAGUACAAUUCCAGGGAAGCAGAAGUGAGGGAAAAGAGUAGGGCAGAGAAGACAACAGAGCAAGUAUGAGUUAGGGCACUGUAGAGAUAGCCGCUGCUUCAUAAUAAAACAAACUAACUGUACUAUUUCAUGGAUCCUGCUUCUGAAAGGCCUUAAGGGCUACUGAGUCUCAAGACAGUCUGUUGGCAGGGUGGCAAUGGAAAAGGAGGAGAAUUUAUCCACUAGCUUUCAUCUCCCACUGAUCAAAAGUCUACCCCAUCAGGCAUUAACUUUUCUGCACCUUGCCAUGCACCCCUGUGAGUGUCAGGCAGGUCUUGAUGUAUCUUAAGCCUCAGUGGCAAGAUGGAAGACAGCCCUGAAUUGAAGACAAGAGGAUCAAGCUGUGGGCUUGAGACAAGGCACUGCCAGGCAGCUCCUGCACAAUGUCUGCUGUGGCCCUGCAGUGAUGAGAAUCUACCUAAAGUUGGUCUCCAGAGUGAAAGCCAGGAAGCAAGAGUCCUGGAGACAGGUGAGCCUGGGAUGAUCUGAAGAGAAGCUAAAAGUUCCUUUCACACCUGGGCUUUGAGAACCUCUUUUGAAUAUAUUGAAUUAUAUAUUUCCACUUAAAUAUCUGGGAAAUGAAGAUAUAGCUCCAACCUUCGGGAGUUCCUAACAUUCAAGCUUUCUUUUACUUAGCAGGUGACCUAAAGUGUAUCAAAAAGCUAUUGGUAAAAAAAAAUCAAGAUUUAAGUACUAGAGGGAUAUUUAACAAAUCAAAUAUUUUGUAAGAAAAAAUCUCUGUACUAUGAAUAAUUGCCCUUUAACCAUUCUAUUGUGAUAUGUUGGAUUUUCUACUGAGAAAAUGCUCUUGCACAAUAUCUUUCUUUUUUAGACUACUUUGAUUCAGUUGGCUAUUAGAUUCUGUUGCAUUGGGAAUUCUUAGCAUUUUCUGCUUGAAAUCUGAAGCCUAUUUGUUACACAAUAUGUCUGACUCACAUAUCCAGCCUCAAACUACUUGAGAGAAGAGGAAGUUCCUUAUAUGGUUGUACUCCUCCACGGCAUCCCUAGAGGAUAACAAACUCUCAAUAUUUGUUGAGUAGGAAACAGCCUAAAUGCCAGGCAUUAGAUGAAUGUUAAAUAAAUGAUGGGGCAACCAUACAAUGGAAUUUCACAUAGCACAGUUCUAAAAAAAUAAGAAGUUUUUUCUAAUACAGUUAUAAGAAGAAGGAAGACAGUUAUUUUAGGUAAAAUAAACACAUUGCAGAAAAAUAUGUAUAAAAAUCCUAUUUUGAUUGCAUGUUUAUACACACAUGUAGGUGGAUAUGCAUAUUUAGAAAUCUAGAAGGUAAGAUUACACAAUAAACUGACAAAGGCUAUUAUCUCCAGUGAUGAGAUUGGUAGAAGGGGAAAGAAUUUUCUCCUUUCACUUGUACUGUUUGUGUUUUUUACAACAAAUAUUUGUUACUUGUGUAAUCUAAAAAUGAACAAGUAAAAGAAAUAAUGCCUUGAAUUAAUCAUGUGUAUUUGAUGAUGCAGUAGAAAAACAGGCAACUGGAUACAAAUAAAUACUUAGUUUUGACACUGAAUUAGUUCAGGUACCAUCUCUCAUUUCAUUCUGCAUGGAAAAAUUGCUACUUCCAUUUUUUUUUAAAUCCCUAUGAGAGCCAUUGGAACCUCUGCAUUCUCAACUUCCCCCAAAAUAACAGUGUUCUUGGCUGACUUGCUUGGCUAUAUAUCAUUGUAUUUACAGCAUCAUCCUUUCUUUCGCCGAGAGUUCUGUUUACAAUUCUAAUGAAGAGAUAAAAACCUUGUAACCAAUAUAGGUCACUCAGCUAUG